rnacentral:rRNA from 1 species
GCUAAGACUGGAUAGGAAGAAAUAAGGCAUCUUUUUUCUUUUAAAAGACCUAGUGAUAGGUAUACUUUAGGAGGGGCUUGCGCCAUAUUAGUUAGUUGGUAGGGUAAUGGCCUACCAAGACGAUGAUGUGUAGCUGGACUGAGAGGUUGAACAGCCACAUUGGGACUGAGACACGGCCCAAACUCCUACGGGAGGCAGCAGUAGGGAAUUUUCGGCAAUGGAGGAAACUCUGACCGAGCAACGCCGCGUGAACGACGAAGUACUUUGGUAUGUAAAGUUCUUUUAUCAAGGAAGAAAAGCAAGUGGUGAACCAUUUGUUUGCCGGUACUUGAUGAAUAAGCCCCGGCUAAUUAUGUGCCAGCAGCCGCGGUAAGACAUAAGGGGCAAGUGUUAUCCGGAAUUAUUGGGCGUAAAGGGUGCGUAGGCGGUCUAGUAAGUCAGUGGUGUAAUGGCAACGCUCAACGUUGUCCGGCUAUUGAAACUGCUAAACUUGAGUUAGAUAGAGGCGAGUGGAAUUCCAUGUGUAGCGGUAAAAUGCGUAAAUAUAUGGGAGGAACACCAAGAGGCGUAGGCGGCUCGCUGGGUCUUUACUGACGCUGAGGCACGAAAGCGUGGGGAGCAAACAGGGAUUAGAUACCCUGGUAGUCCACGCCGUAAACGAUGAGUACUAAGUGUCGGGUUAAACCGGUACUGAAGUUAACACAUUAAAGUACUCCGCCCUGAGUAGUACGUACGCAAGUAUGAAACUUAAAGGAAUUGACGGGACUCCGCACAAGCGGUGGAUCAUGUUGUUUAAUUCGAAGAUACCCGAAAAACCUUACCAGGUCUUGACAUGUUUUUGCGAAACGGUAGUAAUAUCGUGGAGGUUAUCAGAAACACAGGUGGUGCAUGGUUGUCGUCAGCUCGUGUCGUGAGAUGUUAGGUUAAGUCCUAAAACGAGCGAAACCCUUAGUCGUUAGUUGCCAGCACGUUAUGGUGGGGACUUUAACGAGACUGCCAGUGAUAAAUUGGAGGAAGGUGAGGAUCACGUCAAAUCAGCAUGCCCCUUAUGACCUGGGCUACAAACGUGAUACAAUGGCUGUUACAAAGGGUAGCUGAAACGCAAGUUCUUGGCCAAUCCCCAAAAACAGUCUCAGUCCGGAUUGAAGUCUGCAACUCGACUUCAUGAAGUUGGAAUCGCUAGUAAUCGCGAAUCAGCAUGUCGCGGUGAAUACGUUCUCGGGGUUUGUACACACCGCCCGUCA